GGCGGCGUAGCCAAGUGGCCAAGGCAGCGGACUGCAAAUCCGUUAUCCGCCGGUUCGAAUCCGGCCGCCGCCUCCA
rnacentral:tRNA from 1 species